ensembl:snRNA
GUGUUGUUAUGAAAGGAGAGAAAGCUGCCGCUUUGACAAGGGUGGAAGAGGCCCUCAGGCCUUACAACACGCAUGUGGUUAAGGCCCUGCCACCCACUUUGUGUGUGUGUGUUUUCUUUUUCUU